rnacentral:misc_RNA from 1 species
UCUCCGUAGGUGAACCUGCGGAGGGAUCAUUACAGGGUUCAGGCCCUACGGGGUAGUCCUCCAACCCAAUGUUAUUAUUACUUUGUUGCUUUGGCGGGCCGUUAGGCUCCGGCCCGACUACCGGCCCCGGCUGGUAAGCGCCCGCCAGAGGACCCAAAACCCUGAAUAUUAGUGUCGUCUGAGUACUAUAUAAUAGUUAAAACUUUCAACAACGGAUCUCUUGGUUCUG